rnacentral:rRNA from 1 species
AGAGUUUGAUCCUGGCUCAGGAUGAACGCUAGCUACAGGCUUAACACAUGCAAGUCGAGGGGCAGCAUGGUCUUAGCUUGCUAAGGCCGAUGGCGACCGGCGCACGGGUGAGUAACACGUAUCCAACCUGCCGUCUACUCUUGGACAGCCUUCUGAAAGGAAGAUUAAUACAAGAUGGCAUCAUGAGUCCACAUGUUCACAUGAUUAAAGGUAUUCCGGUAGACGAUGGGGAUGCGUUCCAUUAGAUAGUAGGCGGGGUAACGGCCCACCUAGUCUUCGAUGGAUAGGGGUUCUGAGAGGAAGGUCCCCCACAUUGGAACUGAGACACGGUCCAAACUCCUACGGGAGGCAGCAGUGAGGAAUAUUGGUCAAUGGGCGAGAGCCUGAACCAGCCAAGUAGCGUGAAGGAUGACUGCCCUAUGGGUUGUAAACUUCUUUUAUAAAGGAAUAAAGUCGGGUAUGGAUACCCGUUUGCAUGUACUUUAUGAAUAAGGAUCGGCUAACUCCGUGCCAGCAGCCGCGGUAAUACGGAGGAUCCGAGCGUUAUCCGGAUUUAUUGGGUUUAAAGGGAGCGUAGAUGGAUGUUUAAGUCAGUUGUGAAAGUUUGCGGCUCAACCGUAAAAUUGCAGUUGAUACUGGGUGUCUUGAGUACAGUAGAGGCAGGCGGAAUUCGUGGUGUAGCGGUGAAAUGCUAAGAUAUCACGAAGAACUCCGAUUGCGAAGGCAGCCUGCUAAGCUGCAACUGACAUUGAGGCUCGAAAGUGUGGGUAUCAAACAGGAUUAGAUACCCUGGUAGUCCACACGGUAAACGAUGAAUACUCGCUGUUUGCGAUAUACAGCAAGCGGCCAAGCGAAAGCGUUAAGUAUUCCACCUGGGGAGUACGCCGGCAACGGUGAAACUCAAAGGAAUUGACGGGGGCCCGCACAAGCGGAGGAACAUGUGGUUUAAUUCGAUGAUACGCGAGGAACCUUACCCGGGCUUAAAUUGCAGAUGAAUUACGGUGAAAGCCGUAAGCCGCAAGGCAUCUGUGAAGGUGCUGCAUGGUUGUCGUCAGCUCGUGCCGUGAGGUGUCGGCUUAAGUGCCAUAACGAGCGCAACCCUUGUUGUCAGUUACUAACAGGUUUCGCUGAGGACUCUGAC